rnacentral:rRNA from 1 species
CCACGCCGUAAACGAUGAUUACUAGGUGUUGGGGGUCAAACCUCAGCGCCCAAGCUAACGCGAUAAGUAAUCCACCUGGGGAGUACGCCGGCAACGGUGAAACUCAAAGGAAUUGACGGGGGCCCGCACAAGCGGAGGAACAUGUGGUUUAAUUCGAUGAUACGCGAGGAACCUUACCCGGGAUUGAAAUGUAGAUGCCGACAGAUGAAAGUUUGUUUUCCUUCGGGACAUCUAUGUAGGUGCUGCAUGGUUGU